UCUUUAUCAAUGUUCAUAUGUCAUUAUCAUGUCACGCGUCAAAGUAAUUAAAAGGUAAUAAAAUUAAAGGGGCUAAUCUUUUUAAUUUGUUUAUUUAUUUGCUUUUGGUAUCUUUUCCACGCGGCGGGAAAGUUUGCUGUAAUAAUAAUGAUGUAAAUCGCUGGGUUUGCGGCAAUAAAUGAUGGUCCAUAUGCAUCAACAAUUUAUUUCCUUUUAUUCUAAAUUUCUAAACCAUAUAAUUUGAUUCCUUCUUUUUUUUAUGACUAAAUAUAAUGUCUUUCCUUAAUCUCAAUAUACGUAGGCGUGUUUCUUUCUAUAUACAUAUACUGUACAAAAAUAUUGUUUUUUAAGAGAAUACUGCACAAAAAUAAUUUGAUUCCAAUAGUGGUGGGUAAUGGUGAGAUGACAUUAUUUUGUCAUGACCCUUGGUUGGAAAGUGGUAAGUUGAAAGAGAUAUAUAGUAGGCUCUUUGUCAUAUGCUGCAAUGCUAAUGUGUCGAUGAAAAAUAUGUUUAGAUUAGGUUGGUGGCUAUUGGAGGUGCUUGGGUUUGGAGGCAUAGUUUAUUUGUAUGGGAAGAGGGUUUGUUUGUAAGACAAUAUUUUAGACAGUGUUCAUGGAGGUUUGAUCAUAGUGAAUGUUACUUUGUCAAAAGGUGUUUAUCAAGAGGAGGAGGGACUAGGGUCGGUUGUGUUGGACUAAACUGAUUAUGUUAAGAGGGACAUUAUUUCUUUGGUAAUUUCUUCAAAACCAAAUUCAUAUGAAGGACAAUUUUGUUAGGCGGGACAUUGUGAUUUCAUGAACGCUCUUCAAUCUAUUUGAAUGUUGUUUGGACUUUAUCGGAAGCACACAAUAAUCGUCUCGUUGGUCAUAAACAAUCAAAAUCUACAUAUGAUCAUGUAUAUUAUUUAUUGAUCGAGUAAAAAAAAUUCAGACAUGGUGGCUGAUUACGACCCAUAACAAAAAAUUAGGUUCAAUUUGAAUUAGUGGUGGGUUAAUCCUUUAGCUGUCUUGGUAUUAUGACUCGAUAAAGUAGUAGCGAGUUAUAUCUUAUUUCACCUUUGUAUUUUUGUUGUUCUUGUAACUUGGUUGUAAUGACUUCGUUAUCCUAUUCUUUGCACACAUUGUGCUAGAAUAGUGUUUCAAUAUACUAUUAUUUUUUGUUUGCCUUUUAAAAACAAAAAAGAGCAAAUUGAGCAUAAGGAAAAUUGAAAAAAAUAAUAUUAUAAUGUCAACACAAAAUUAUGACUCCUAGGGUCAGUUUGGUUUGAGGUGAAUGAGGGGGGAAGAGAGAAAUUAUUUUUAAUUUUAGGUGUUUGAUUCAAUUUAUUGGAGG
rnacentral:lncRNA from 1 species